rnacentral:lncRNA from 1 species
CGGGCCGCCAAGAAGCGGAAGAUGCCUGGCCUGAAUGUAAACUUCCCAACAAACUUGCUGGUAAGUCUUAAACUUAUAAAUACAGUGAAACUAUUCAACUACCAUUUACCAAACUUAAAUCAUACAUUUUAGCUAAAAAUCAUAACCCUAAAAUCAAUUUUUAAAGACUUUUUUUAUUUUGAAAUUAUUUUAGAUUAACAGAAAAAGUUGCAAUGUGGAUGAAUCUUGAAAACAUGCUAAGUGAAAGAAGCCAGACACAAGAGCCAUAUAUUUGUACGAUUCCAUUUAUGUGAAAUGUCUUGAACAGCCAAAUCCAGAGUCAGAAAGAUUAGUGGUCCCCAGGGUCUGGGGGAAGGAGGGAACCGGGAGUGACAGCUAAUGAGUACAGGGUUUCCUUUUGGCGGUGAUUAAAAUGUCCUGGAAUUAGAGAAUGGUGAUAGUUUCACAACCCUGCGAAAAUACUAAAAACCACUGAAUUGUACACUAAAACGGUGAAUUUUAUGGUAUAUGAAUUAUAUCUCAAUAUUUAAAAAAUCAUUUACAUAGAAAAAAACAGUAGAGAGUUCACCGUACCCUUCACCAGCUCCCCCUAAUGUUAAUUUAUGUAAGAGUAGUGCCGUUAUCGAAAGCGGUUAAUUAACAUUGAGACAAUACAAGUAACUGAACUGCGGACCUUAUUCAAUUUUUGCCAGCUUUUCCAGUAAUGGUCAUUUUCUGUUUCUGGACCCAAUUCUGGACGGCUGCUCUUAGCUGUCGUGUCUCCCUGGUCUCCUCCAAUCUGUGACAGUUCCUCAGACUUCUCUUGUCUUCCCUCCCUUGUCUUGACACUUCGAUGAGUACUGGUCAAGUAGUUUGUAUAAUGCUUUUCAAUUGGAUUUGUCUGCGUUUUCUUGUGAUUAAGUUGAGGUUAUGUAUUUUUGGCUUGAAACCGCAGAAGUGACGUUGUGCCUUCUACAGUCCAUCAUGUCGACAUAUCUUAUUACUGGUAUCUGGGAUCAUGUGGUUAUGAUGGGGUCUUCUGAGUUUUUGCAUUGUAACCUUAAGACUUUUCC